UCCUAUCACACGGGAUGACACGUGAUGACCGCCAGUCAACAACAGGCAUCAUUACCGUCGUCACCCCGUGUCUGGAGGAUGAAAACGCAUGUCAUCAGUCUGGCCGCAGAGCCCUGUGCUUUAGAGACAGAGGCGCAGUUCUGUUCUUUCAAGGAAGAAGCCAGAGUCCUUGGCUAUUAUUCAAAAAUCAAACAACACUAACUCAUCUGGUUUUUAAUAAGACUUUCCAAGGAUGCUGGAGGAAAACACACCCACAUCCCUCCAGGCCUGGGGCCUGUCCAGGUGCAUCUGGGCUUGGCCGGGCCAAUCCAAGAACCCGGGGUUGCGGAACUCCUGGGCCAGAGGAUGAGGGGAGGUUGGAACGGAGCUGCACCCAAACCGUGAGAAGCCACCGACUGUUGAAACAAGUUCUAGAAACGUCUGUGGGCUGAGCUAGGGCAGGGGAGGCUGAGGGCAGUGUGGGUGUGAGCUCGGAAGUGGGUGCCUGAUGUCCGUGGUAACAGACGUGGGGACAGUCAGGGGAGACACAGGUCAGAGGGAGGCGAGCAAGGAGGUGGCCUGGAGCCUGGCCGGGAGAGAACCCCUGUCAGGACAGGGUCCCAAAGGUGAAGCCCCAGGGCUGCAGGAAGGAGCCUCGGGCCCAGCCUAAACCCCCAGUCCCCGCCCCAGCCCACGACCUGCCAGCGCACCGGCACCCCCUCACCUCUGGUGUCCAGCAGGGCCAGGGGCCCAGGCACCGGUGGCUGCAUCCCGGGGGAGGGCACUGCUCCCGCCUGGCUCUCCCUGGGCCCAGGCUCCGUCUGGCUGUGGAUCAGUGGCCAGGAGCACCGCCCCUUCUCUGUGCUCAGGACCGCCUCCUUUCCACCUGUGCGGCUCCCUCCCUCCCCCUGCCUCCCGCUGGUCCGGCACCGGGAGUGGGGGUGGGCAGACCCACUGGAAAGUCCCCUGGGUUUUCAGUCAGUGCUCACGGGUCACAGGCUGCAGAGGGGAGGGACGCAGGGGGCUCACAGCAGCCCCUGUCCGCCCACUUGCCCCCGCAGAGCUCCUGCAGUCAGUAGGGACCUGCUUCUGCUCUCAGCAGAGAGUGAGCGCUCCAACGCACGCGCACACGCACGAGUGCACAUUGCAGGUCACCAUCACACCCCCGCCAGCUCACCUGGGCCUGUGUUGCACUGUCGCUGAGUGAGCAAAAUCUCCGGGUUGGAUGGGAGCGGGCGAACGGGGUCCCAGGACCGGCGCAUUGCACAGCGGGGAGGAAGGGUCAUGUGACGACCACUCAUGCCGUUUUCAAGCUGUCCCAGCAGGUGUGAAAGGCAGCCCCCUCCGUGGGCAUAGACGGUCGUCAAAAACAGUCGUGUGUCUUUUUGCUCCCACGGUGUUGGCAAACUGCUGAUGGUCAGCAGUGACUUUGCAGUAACACCGAGUAACACGGACGGGGUGUGGGGCAAGGACCCUGCCUUCCCCGCUGCUGCGCUUACUUGUGCCGUGGCCCCUCGGACGCAGCUGCAGGAAAAUAGCAGCUGUGGACCUCCGAGCCAGGGCUCUCUCCUCAAGGACCUGCCCUAGAGCGGCUCUCUGGAGCCAGGAUGCCCGAUGCCAUCAUCUCCAGGCGUGUUUGAACUACUGUGGCCCUGAGCUCGGCCCUGACUAAGCGACUCCGACUCGGUGGGAGCACGGUGGCCAUUAAGGAGGCCGCCAUUCUACAGGGGCUGUCGCUGUGAUGGAGAGACCCUCGCCCCCGCGUGCGGCCCGAUGCCCCAUGUCCAGCAGCACAGCCGUGGGCACAGCCUGAACGCCUACAUCGGGACAGGGCCGCGCUCUGAGGACGCAGGCGUGGCGCCCCACUGGUGGUGGGGAUGGACCGAUGGAUGUGAGCGCCACCAGGCAGCGAUGCGGGCCCGUGGGGUGGUGGUGAGUAGGAGGCCUUCCGUGGAGUUUCUAAGCCUGAAGAACAACAGUCUUCAUUCACUGAUCCUUUCAACGAACAUUGACAGCGCACCCACUGCGUACUGGACACUGGUCUGUACCCGUGGGAAGUGGCAAUGGGCCAGUAGACAAAGAUCCGAGGGAGCUGGCAUCCUCGUGGGGAAGGGAGGCUCUGAUGCAUAGAGCAAAGGAGGCAAAUGCAGAGUAGCCGCACCUGCUCUGGGACAGGGGGACACAAAGACCACAGGGAGGAAGCGGUGGCAGGAGCCAGCGGGCAUUACAAGGUCAGAGUGGGUCGCCUUGAGGAGGUGAGGGCUACACCCAGACACCAGGGCUAUGAGGCCGUCAGCCUUCCCAACGCCCACGCAGAGGCCUGGCGAAGCAGAUGGGGCCCCGGGACUGGGGGGCGGCGGGGAAGGGAGGAUGGGGGUGGGGGGCAAGGACACCACAGGGCUCACGGGCCAGGUGGAGGGUCUCGGGGGCCCCUGCUUCUACUCGGAGUGACAGGAGGGCCAGGGACCAGGUGUAGAAAUGCCACUACAGAGGCCAAUUUGGCGGCUUGACUCUAUGAGACGUGACAGUGGUUUGGGCCGGUGGGGCCAGUGCAGGCAUCGAAGCCACGUGCUGUGGACGCACAACACCAUGGCCCCGUGUGCACACAGAUGUGCACGCGGGUGUGCGAGUGCCAGGCAAGCACGGCCUCGAAGUCCGCAGGGGAGCGUCAGCUCCAGAACGGUGCUCCCUCCUCGUGCGGGAAACAGACGGCUCGGAGCCGUCUAGAGAGCUUUGCCUCCACUUGGAAAAUCAUCUGCUUUUAAAAGGUUAAAAGGCUUGAAAAACUAUGGGCUUCCUAGACCACAGUGUGAGGGAGGCUGGGAGGGCCCUGGGGACCCUGACCUCAUCCUGGGGUGUAGGGGCCCCUCCAGCCAAAAAGCCUGCGGAGGUGACUCCACUGUGACGGCAAAGCCUCCGGGGGGA
ensembl:lncRNA